ACUUAUCAGGAGCUUUGGAGGCUGUCCAGAUUUAUGUUGAUACCAGAACAUACAUUCACCAGCACCGCAAUCUUCAACAUCUCUGUUGGUUUUACAGGUGAGAGUGACGGUGGAUCCUGGAGCAGAUGUCAUUACUGCAGGCUGAGUCACAGUCACCUGACCGCUGCAUCCUAAACACAAAAACAGAUCAUUCAUUGAUCAGCAGAAAUAAAGGAGAGGAAAGGCAGCACAUGAUGUUUGAAAUGUUGCUGAGUGAAGGAACCUGUGAAACAGCAGCAGGCCAGCGUCCAGAUGAGGAUGGUGAUGAGAGUCAUGGUGCUGGUGGUUUCUGCGGACUGACAGAUGUGAGUCCUGCAGUGUUGAACUCACAGGACUAUAAACCUUUUCAGUUCACGGGAGGAUCAGCUGAUGAUGCAAAGCCUCCUCUCUAUGGAAAUGAUUUCUCUGCUCUCAGCACACUGAAGGCAACGUGGGACACAAAAUCAUGAGGAAAACUGUCUGGAUUUACACCAUCUAUCAUCUUAAUGGAAGAACAUAUUUAUAUCAGGAGUGGAGUUGAGGAUUUAAGUUUGUGUUUGCUGUGGUUGGUAUGAUAUGUCUGUUUGUCUGACAUUAAUCUACUUUACUGUAGAUAAAUAACGUAUUUCAGUUCUGUUUGAAAUAAAUGUGUAAAUAAUUAUUAUUUAAAAGCAUCAAGUUCAUUAAAACAUGUAGAAAGGAAUAUAAACUCGAAAAAAAUAUGGACUUUGUUUAAAGUAGAAUGUAAUCAUUUCUUUGCCAGGUUUAGAAAAGUGAAGAAAAAUGAAAUAAAUAAUAUUUAUUUACAUAAUAAAUUCCAUCCAUUGCCUUACAUAGCCUUUUUUAUUUUAAAAAUUAUACAUUUUCUUGUUUAAUGUAAGAUCAGGGAGUAUAUUCAGUGGAUACAUGCUUGUUGACAGUGCAGGAGGUUUUUGUACGGCCACUUAAUGAGUUUGUAUCACUGUGGUGACUUUUGGUGGAGGAACCAAACUCAUCGUUCAAUCGGGCUCCAUGGUCAGGCCCUCGGUCUCCCUUCUGGCGCCCUCCUCUGAGCAGCUCUCUGGGGGCUCGGUCACGCUGGCCUGCCUGCUGUCCGGCUACUCUCCUCAGGGAGCCGUGGUGAGCUGGGAGGUGGACGGCACAGCGGUGACAGAGGGGGUGCUGAGCAGCUCGGAGGAGGAGAAGAGCGGACGCUACAGCAGCAGCAGCGCCCUGAGCCUGAGCCAGGAGCGCUGGCUGUCAGGAGAUCUAUACUCCUGCAAGGUCCUCCAUCAUGACCACAGCCAGACCCAGUCCCUCCACAGGAGCCAGUGUGAGGGCUAGAGGGGCCGGCUGAAGCCCAGGACAGGAGCUGUGUGUCGGGGGGAGCAGGGGGAACACAUACUGCUCUGAUCAUUAUGAGUUUUACUGUUUGUAGAGGAAACUAAAGCUUUGUGUGGCAGAGAACAACACUGCUGUAAAGUGUUGGACAGCAACAACUUAGAGAGUAAUGUGUAAAGCUCAGCAGAGAUGUGAGCGUGCUUAGUAACUGUCAUGUUGAUGAUUCAUCAUUUUCCUAAUAAAGCUUUCACUGAUAAAUAUCA